UGAAAUUAUUAACAAGAUAAUAAACAAUAAUAUACCUACUGUUGUGUAUUUUUAAAAAAUAAAUUAAUUGAUAAUUUAAAAAUUAAUAAUCAUGAGUACCUCAGAGGCAGAAACAGUCAGUGAUCUCAUACAAAAAAUGAUAAUGUCAAUGUGUGGUGAACAAAAUCCAGAAAUUAUCAGACGUUUUAUGAGAUACUCACUUGGUUUAUUAUCAUCAACACAAGGAGUUGAAAAAUUUCAUGAAGAUGAAAUAUCAAUAACAAAUCAAAUAACAAAUAAAUUAACACCAAGAGAUUCAAUAAUAUUUGAUAAAUUACAUAGUGAUCUUAAAGAUAGACCAUUAAAAAAUCGUAUUGGUGUAUUAUCAUUUCUUCUUCAUAUGCGUCAAUUAGAUGAAAUAACAAAAGAUAAAUUUUCAAUUUAUGAUAUGAGACUUGGGCUAACAUCACCAGUUGCAUCAACAAGUGCACAAACACCACAUGGUUAUCAACAAAAUGCUCAAAUAGUAUCAUUAACAACACCAGAUUCAAGUAAUCAAUCAACACCAAUAAAUACAUGUAGAUUAUUUAGUGAAGAUUGUAUAUCAGAAGAUGUACUUGUACAAGAAUUAAUAUAUUCAUUUCAAGGUAUUGAAGGUAGAAUAUUAAAAUUAGAUUCAACAUAUGGUUUUCAAAUUGAUUUAACAUCAAAUAUAAAUAGAUAUCAUAAACAAGCUGUAUUAAGAUUAAGUGAAUUAGGAUAUUUACAUAAUGUUGUUAGACGUGGAUUAGAUGAAAUAACAUUAAAUUGUGCUGGUAGAGUUGCUGAUAGUCUUGUUGCUGUAUUACAUAAAGAAUUAUCUGAAUAUUAUAGAUUAAUAGCAAUAAUGCAAGAAGAAGUUAAUAGAUCAAAUGGUACAAUGGGUUAUGAAACAGUUACAUUAUCACAUUUACAUUUAUGGGCAUAUGAUCCAUUAGAUAAUUUAAAAUGGCUAGCAAGUAUUGUACGUUCAUGUAAAAAUCAAAAAGGUGGUGCAUUAGCAUCAGCUGUUUAUGAAUUUAGUAAUCAUGGUAAUCCAAAAGUUGAAAAACUUGUUAAACGAAUACUUGAAAGUGUUUGUAAACCAUUAUAUAAUAUGCUUAUACGUUGGAUAACAGAUGGUAUACUUGAUGAUCCAUAUCAAGAAUUUUUUAUUGAAGCAAGAAUUAAUGUUGUUGGUGAUAGAAUGUGGCAUGAAAAAUAUUUUGUUAGAGAUUCAAUGGUACCAAUAUUUAUAACAAAAUCACAAGCUAAAAAAAUACUUGGUACUGGUAAAAGUAUUAAUUUUUUACGUGAAAUAUGUAAAGAUUCAACACCACUACAUGGACGUGAAAAUUAUAUGCUUUAUGAUAAUGAUGAUGAUAGUAAUUGUAAUAGCAAUAAUAAAUGUCAUGUUGAAACAUUUUUUGAUAUGGAUCCAGAUGGACCACUUCAAACAAUGAUGAAUGCUGCAUAUAAAGAAACAUCAACAAGAGUUGUUGAAUCACUUACAAAAGAAUAUCAAUUGAUGGAUCAUAUACAGGGUAUAAAAGGUUAUUUAUUACUUGGUCAAGGACAUUUUGUACAACAUUUAAUGCAUUUAUUAGAACCAGAAUUAGCUAAACCAGCAAAUUCAUUAUAUCCACAUAAUAUAUCAUCAAUAUUAGAAACAGCAAUACGUGCAACAUGUACUAAAAUUGAAGAUAUUGAUGUACAAAGACGUCUUGAUGUUAGAUUACUUCAAUCAUCUGAAAAUGAUUCUGGAUGGGAAGUUUUCAUUUUGGAUUAUAAUGUAUCUGGACCAAUUGGAACAAUAUUAGAACCAUGUCGUGAAACAUAUCAAACUGUAUUUUUUUCAUUAUGGAAAGCAAAACGUAUGGAAUAUAUAUUAUCAACAAUAUGGAAACAUGAAAUAACAUCAGCUAAAAUGUUUCGUAAAAUGCCUGAAGUAUUACCAAUACAAAAUUUAAUUCAUGUUAUAACAAGUAGUAUGGUACAUCUUGUUCAUCAAAUGCAAUAUUAUUUAUUAUUUGAAGUUGUUGAAUGUUCAUGGGAUGUAUUUGCUAAUAAUUUACAACAAGCAUCAUCACUUGAUGAUAUUAUUGUUGCACAUAAUUUUUUUGUUGAAUCAGUACGUCGUGGUACAUUACUUGAUGAAGAUUCAAAAGAAUUAAGAGAUCAUUUACAUGCUGUUUAUGGUCCAAUAUUAAGUUUACAAACACUUGAAGAAACAUUUUUAGCAAGAACAAGUCAAGAAUAUGAAGCAAGAAUUGAAAAUAAACGUUUUAUUAAUGAUGAAAGUGAUAAAACAAAAACAUGGGGUAGAACAAAUACACUUGAUAUACAAAAUGCUGAAAGACAAAAUACAUUUAAUAAAUAUUUAUCAACAUUAUCAAGACAGCUUAAAUUAUUAUCAAAAACUUAUCAAGAUCGUGUUAAAAAAUUUUUAUUAAUGCUUGCAUCUGCUGAAAAUGUAUCACUUCAAUUACUAAGUGUUAGACUUGAUUUUAAUGAACAUUAUAAAAGUAAAGAUAGUAGUCUUCUUGCACCAUUGACAUAUCGUUGUCAAAGUGAUCAUUCAUUUGCCAUUACCAAGUGACAGCCAUCAUUUAAAAAAAUUAUUAAACAAUCAUCAUAUAUAACAUUAUUAAUGAAUGCUAUAUGAAAAAAACCAUGAGUUAGUAAACAAAUUAUUUAUUUAGAAAUGAAAAUGCCCUUGACUUCAAGCUUUAAUGAUUUGCAUAAAUUUCAGUAUACAAAAAACAUCUAGAAAAUUAUAAAAU